UCACUAUCAAAGCAUAUUUCAGUAUAGUG
rnacentral:piRNA from 1 species